UCCCUGGUGGUCCAGUGGUUAGGAUUCUGGGCUUCCACUGCAGGGAGCCCAAGUCUGAUCCCUGGUCGGGGAA
rnacentral:tRNA from 1 species